UGAAGUGUGGCGAGCACAGAGCCGCAGAAUCAUGCGCAUUGCCGGGGAGAAGGCGGUGUAGCGUCUCUGCUCGCUUCUCUCUCGGCUCACACUGCGUGGCAAGUUUCUGCAGUUCCCGAGAGGACCAUGCUGAUUCUAUGAUGGGGAAACCCAGGAGCCGGCGGCCCGGGAGAGCUGGGGAACGUCCUUCGCCGGAGAUCUUUUCAAAGAGGUCACGCGCCGCCUCCCCACCCCCACUCCCUCCGCACCCAGACACGUCCCCAGAGCAGCGCACCACCCCCUCCAAACGUGAUGCAGACCGGGGGAUGACUAAAAUGACCUCUCAAAGUCGCUCAGAUUUAGAGUGAGUCAUUGGCUCAGCUGCGAAGUGCCACAGACCCCUCAGGAACACUCGUGCACACACACUCCACCCCCGGUGCUGGUCACUGCUGCUCGUCAUUACUGAAUCCCGACACCGAGCAGUCAAAGUUGGGGCUUUUUCCCACUUCUCCUGAUAAAAGCUGCUUCCUCACGCACAUGGUUCCUCCCCUCCCCACCUUACUCGGAGCCCAGCCCCGUCUCUACCGCACGAAACCAAGAUGGGUUUGGGGGACGCUUUAGGAGUCUGGGAUGGUGGAGACCCAGGGAAAGGGAAGGGGCUUCUCGUCCUACAGAGGAAUGUAAAUAGGAAACUGGAAGGUCUUCAUAUGUUCCAGUCUCCCUACCCUAUCCUGUCUCUGUCCCCUCCCCCAAUACAGUUGUAUUUGCAGAAGAAAUAAAUGAGUGUCAUGGAAA